CGGGAUGUAGCGCAGCCCGGUAGCGCGCUUCGUUCGGGACGAAGAGGCCGCUGGUUCGAAUCCAGUCAUCCCGACCU
rnacentral:tRNA from 2 species